rnacentral:rRNA from 1 species
UACGUAGGGGCUAGCGUUGUCCGGAAUCAUUGGGCGUAAAGAGCGUGUAGGCGGCCCGAUAAGUCCGCUGUGAAAGUCCAAAGGCUCAACCCUGGGAUGCCGGUGGAUACUGUCGGGCUCGAGUCCGGAAGAGGAGUGUGGAAUUCCUGGUGUAGCGGUGAAAUGCGCAGAUAUCAGGAGGAACACCGAUGGCGAAGGCAGGUCUCUGGGCAUUAACUGACGCUGAGGAGCGAAAGCAUGGGGAGCGAACAGG